AAAAGACUUUAAGCUGCACUUUAUCCGUGCUUGGAACAGCAAAGACAGCAGUUACAAGACCUAACAGAUGAUGCAGAUCAAAUAUUAAAUAGCUCUGGGAAUAAAAGUACUCGCAAAUGUACUAAAUGCAAAGCUCCAAUGAAAGGACAUCCUCGAGGUCAAUGCUUCACUGAAAAAGAAUAAAUUGAAGUUGGUAGAUGAUAGGGCAGUGGUCAGACAUUGCUUGGAGCCUGUCUGGAAUGGAGAAGUAAGGCACCUCCUUCCCACCACCAGCCUGAGGGUUCACCUUAGGCAAGUGAUAGUACCCUCUAGCCUCCCUAUCUGGGCACUGAUAUACACACCUUUCCUGAUGAUUACAGUAUUAAUAUAACAUUGA